rnacentral:tRNA from 1 species
GCACUGGUGGCUCAGUGGUAGACUUCUCACCUUCCAUGCCGGAGACCCGGGUUCUAUUCCUUGCCAGUGCA